rnacentral:rRNA from 1 species
CCUACGGGAGGCAGCAGUGGGGAAUUUUGGACAAUGGGCGCAAGCCUGAUCCAGCAAUGCCGCGUGAGUGAAGAAGGCCUUCGGGUUGUAAAGCUCUUUUGUCAGGGAAGAAACGGCCGAGGCUAAUACCUUUGGCUAAUGACGGUACCUGAAGAAUAAGCACCGGCUAACUACGUGCCAGCAGCCGCGGUAAUACGUAGGGUGCAAGCGUUAAUCGGAAUUACUGGGCGUAAAGCGUGCGCAGGCGGUUUUGUAAGUCUGACGUGAAAUCCCCGGGCUCAACCUGGGAAUUGCGUUGGAGACUGCAAGGCUGGAGUCUGGCAGAGGGGGGUAGAAUUCCACGUGUAGCAGUGAAAUGCGUAGAGAUGUGGAGGAACACCGAUGGCGAAGGCAGCCCCCUGGGUCAAGACUGACGCUCAUGCACGAAAGCGUGGGGAGCAAACAGGAUUAGAUACCCUGGUAGUCCACGCCCUAAACGAUGUCUACUAGUUGUCGGGUCUUAAUUGACUUGGUAACGCAGCUAACGCGUGAAGUAGACCGCCUGGGGAGUACGGUCGCAAGAUUAAAACUCAAAGGAAUUGACGG